CACAGACAACGUCUGUACAGCUCACCACAAGUUUUGCUUUGGAGUACGGCAGCACGCUAUCUUCAUUUUCGUGGACUUGUUUCUCAUUUUUUUAAUUUAACGUCUGCCACAGCUCGUCUUCAGUUACUACGGGUGCUGAUCUAGCAGUGUGUGGACCUCAGCGGACCCCAGAAACGUAUAGAUCUGCCACUGAACAGCUGGAAAGAGAAGACGUGUCAGAAGUUCAGGGGAUAAAGUUCAGAUAUGGCUGAAUCGCAGGUGCUUAUCUUAAAGAACAUAGGGGAUGCAAUUGCAGGAGUGCUUCCAGACCUUCCUGAUCAACUUCUCAAGUCGGUAGAAGAUACUUUGAAAAAAACUUGGUGCAGAAACCACAGAUGAUUUAAAGUACAUUACAGAAAAUGACCUGCUGCUAGUGCUCAAGCCCAUACAAUCCAGAAGACUAGUGGUGCCUGGACCCAAAAUGUGGAUGUCCUUCUUUCUCCACCCUCAAUUUCUUCUUCACCAACAUCAUCCACCACUACUUCAUCACCUUCAGGAAUCUGUACACCAUUACUACCAAACUGGGUAGAGAGAUUUGAGAUACCAUGGCAGAGGCUCCCUGAGGA